CCUACGGGUGGCUGCAGUGGGGAAUAUUGGACAAUGGGCGAAAGCCUGAUCCAGCCAUGCCGCGUGUGUGAAGAAGGCCUUCGGGUUGUAAAGCACUUUCAGUGGGGAAGAAAGCCUUGGGGCUAAUACCCUCGAGGAAGGACAUCACCCACAGAAGAAGCACCGGCUAACUCCGUGCCAGCAGCCGCGGUAAUACGGAGGGUGCGAGCGUUAAUCGGAAUUACUGGGCGUAAAGCGCGCGUAGGCGGUCUGAUAAGCCGGUUGUGAAAGCCCCGGGCUCAACCUGGGAACGGCAUCCGGAACUGUCAGGCUAGAGUGCAGGAGAGGAAGGUAGAAUUCCCGGUGUAGCGGUGAAAUGCGUAGAGAUCGGGAGGAAUACCAGUGGCGAAGGCGGCCUUCUGAACUGACACUGACGCUGAGGUGCGAAAGCGUGGGUAGCAAACAGGAUUAGAUACCCUGGUAGUC
rnacentral:rRNA from 1 species